rnacentral:rRNA from 1 species
AUUGAACGCUGGCGGCAGGCCUAACACAUGCAAGUCGAAUGGUAACAGGAAACAGCUUGCUGUUUCUCUGACGAGUGGCGGACGCGUGAGUAAUGUCUGGGAAACUGCCUGAUGGAGGGGGAUAACUACUGGAAACGGUAGCUACUACCGCAUAACGUCGCAAGACCAAAGAGGGGGACCUUCGGGCCGCUUGCCAUCAGAUGUGCCCAGAUGGGAUUAGCUAGUAGGUGGGGUAACGGCUCACCUAGGCGACGAUCCCUAGCUGGUCUGAGAGGAUGACCAGCCACACUGGAACUGAGACACGGUCCAGACUCCUACGGGAGGCAGCAGUGGGGAAUAUUGCACAAUGGGCGCAAGCCUGAUGCAGCCAUGCCGCGUGUAUGAAGAAGGCCUUCGGGUUGUAAAGUACUUUCAGCGGGGAGGAAGGGAGUAAAGUUAAUACCUUUGCUCAUUGACGUUACCCGCAGAAGAAGCACCGGCUAACUCCGUG